rnacentral:SRP_RNA from 2 species
CGAAGGUCUUAUCGGACAUUGCUAUUUCACUGCAAAGACACUUGCUUAGGGCGCGGUUUUUGACCAAGCCCUGACCGGGUCCCAUGCGGCGAAAACUCCUGAACCGUGUCAGGUCCUGACGGAAGCAGCACUAAGGGAGACCUUUCGGGCGACGUGGGAGUGCCUGGUCGGGGCUUGGUCAAAGGCCGCGCUUCGUGCGUCUUCG